rnacentral:rRNA from 1 species
GAUGAACGCUGGCGGCGUGCCUAAUACAUGCAAGUCGAGCGAACGGACGAGAAGCUUGCUUCUCUGAUGUUAGCGGCGGAAGGGUGAGUAACACGUGGAUAACCUACCUAUAAGACUGGGAGAACUUCGGGAAACCGGAGCUAAUACCGGAUGAUAUUUUGAACCGCAUGGUUCAAAAGUGAAAGACGGUCUUGCUGGCAGUUAUAGAUGGAACCGCGCUGCAUUAGUUAGUUGGUAAGGUAACGGCUUACCAAGGCAACGAUGCAUAGCCGACCUGAGAGGGUGAUCGGCCACACUGGAACUGAGACACGGUCCACACUCCUACGGGAGGCAGCAGUAGGGAAUCUUCCGCAAUGGGCGAAAGCCUGACGGAGCAACGCCGCGUGAGUGAUGAAGGUCUUCGGAUCGUAAAACUCUGUUAUUAGGGAAGAACAUAUGUGUAAGUAACUGUGCACAUCUUGACGGUACCUAAUCAGAAAGCCACGGCUAACUACAUG